UCUAAAGUUUCCAUGAUGGAAUAUUAGUCAGACUGUGUAGGGAAAAUUUGCAUAGCUUACUUGUAUCGGCUGGUCUGAUUAUUAAUGCUUGAUGACAGGCUGCACCAAGCAAUGGAAACUCGAAACCGAACAGUGUGAUUUGUGCUGACUGUGAUGGAAAUGUCCAAUUAGCAGGAUCUUCUCUGUGCUCUCAGUGCAAAGGUAGUGGAGUGAACUCUGCUGAUCUUUCCAAUGGUCAAUUUAAAGCUGCUGAUUCAUGUUGGCUUUGUGGAGGCAGAAAGGAACUGCUGCGUGGGAAUUACAAUGGAGCUGUGGCGGUGUCAUGAGCACUUUCGAUGAGCAGAAGCAACGUGUGUGAUACAAUUGGAUGGAGGUAUUCAUGUAUAUGCAUGCAGUCAUGUAUUGAAUUUGUUCAUAUGGUUAAGAUUAGUCCAGCAUUGGCUCUCCCUGACUGUUUCUGUAUAGGUUCGUUCAGCUGUGGAUGAGGAUGUCUGCAGAUAUCAUGUUUUUCUAUAUCAAGGUCCAUAGCUAUUAAUUUGCAUGA